rnacentral:other from 1 species
AAGUAUCUGCCCUGUUCGAUGCUGGACCUUAAUUUGUUGGCCCCACGAGUUCUACCGCGGGAACUUUUAAGAUUAGGCAAGCUUGGCACCGCCAAGGCGCGGUUCGAGUGACCUUAAUUCGAGAUUCCCACCUUAAAUUGCGGGUACAGAACAAAUUUCGUCUGAACGGCAGGGCGGUUACUUU